GAGGGCUGCCCUGCAGGUGGGCUGGGAGCACAGGCACUGUGGGCUUCGUGUGGUGCUGUGUCCUCACUCACCUUCAUGGCUUGCAGAAUC
ensembl:miRNA